rnacentral:rRNA from 1 species
UACGGGGGGGGCAAACGUUGUUCGGAAUUACUGGGCGUAAAGCGCGUGUAGGCUGCUCAGAAAGUCGGAUGUGAAAGCCCUGGGCUUAACCUAGGAAGUGCAUUCGAAACUUCUGAGCUUGAGUUCUGGAGAGGAAGGCGGAAUUCUCGGUGUAGAGGUGAAAUUCGUAGAUAUCGAGAGGAACACCGGUGGCGAAGGCGGCCUUCUGGACAGUGACUGACGCUGAGACGCGAAAGCGUGGGGAGCAAACAGG